UACGGGGGGGGCAAGCGUUGUUCGGAAUUACUGGGCGUAAAGGGCUCGUAGGCGGCCAACUAAGUCAGACGUGAAAUCCCUCGGCUUAACCGGGGAACUGCGUCUGAUACUGGAUGGCUUGAGUGCGGGAGAGGAUGGUGGAAUUCCCAGUGUAGAGGUGAAAUUCGUAGAUAUUGGGAAGAACACCGGUGGCGAAGGCGGCCAUCUGGACCGCAACUGACGCUGAGGCGCGAAAGCGUGGGGAGCAAACAGG
rnacentral:rRNA from 1 species